rnacentral:tRNA from 1 species
GGAGGGGUGGUCGAGUGGCCGAAGGCGCCGGUCUUGAAAACCGGAGUGGUGCAAGCCACCGUGGGUUCGAAUCCCACCCCCUCCGCCA